UACGUAGGCCCCGAGCGUUAUCCGGAUUUAUUGGGUUUAAAGGGAGCGUAGGUGGAUUGUUAAGUCAGUUGUGAAAGUUUGCGGCUCAACCGUAAAAUUGCAGUUGAAACUGGCAGUCUUGAGUACAGUAGAGGUGGGCGGAAUUCGUGGUGUAGCGGUGAAAUGCUUAGAUAUCACGAAGAACUCCGAUUGCGAAGGCAGCUCACUGGACUGCAACUGACACUGAGGCUCGAAAGUGUGGGUAUCAAACAGG
rnacentral:rRNA from 1 species